rnacentral:lncRNA from 1 species
UGUAAGCAGGACCCAAAUCUGGUGCUGGUACAAGACCUAACAACUACAGCAGCCACGUCAGCAUGGGAUAGUGAGACGGGCAGCACAAGACAACAACAAAACUGGCAGGCUGACGAGCAACACAGUGACCAGGGCCAUGCUGGGGAGGGCAGGGCCAGGAAACAGGGCCUGCAGCUGUUUCACUGUUGCUUCCCCUCUGCCCUGCAGGCCACAUCGAGACACAGAUGGAACCAGAGCAGUAAGGACAACUGUUCCUUCCCCUCUGCCUUGCAGGUGGGUACACAGACACAGGCCAAAUCAGACCAGGGAAGGAGACUCUUCUCAGCACUGCAAACUGGUGCCCACAUUCUCAAAGAAAGGUGGUGCUGGUACCAGACCUACGCAAUGCAGCGGCCACCUCAGCUGUGGAUAGUGAGACGGGCAGCCCCAGACAGCAACAAAACUGGCUGGCUGACGAGGAACCCAGUGAGCAGAGCUAUGCUUGGGAGUGCAGUAAAGGGUAACGAAGGAUGCAGCUGCUCCUUUGUUGCUUCCCCUCUGCCUUGCAGGUGGGCAUUCAGGCACAGACGGAACCAGAAAAGGAAAGAUGACCGUUCUCAGCACUGCAAAGUGGUGACCACACUGAAAGACAGGUCAGCCCUAGAGAACGAGAAAACUGGCUGUGUGACGAGCAACCGUGUGUGCAGAGCCAUGCUGGGGUGGGCAGGGGAGGGCUACAGGAUAUCCAUGUUGAGAGAGCAAAUGAAGUCCAAGAAGAGGCACACAUGACAAGCGACACAAUGAAACAGGAUUAAAGCACUGGUUGCACUUGAGUGAAAGAUUAAGUCAAAUGUUUUCUGAAAUAGAUCAUUACUCCAAAAUACAAAUUCAAUUUUCUGAGAGUAUGGCUACCAGUCAAUAUAUUUAGCUGACAGGAGGUUAAUCACAGAUUUUGUUUUCAAGACUUAAAAAUCUAACAGUAACAUUAUCAAAAGCGAUGGUACUAAUUUUGAUAGAUUUAAAACUAGCUCCAAAUAAACUUGCUAUGUAAAUACA